rnacentral:ncRNA from 1 species
UACGUUUUGUUUAGGUUAUUUUUUAUUGUAUGUGUUUGGUUUAUAUUCUAAAGUUUUAUUCUUGCUUAUUUAUUCACUUUUUCUUUAUAUUAUAUAUAAGUUUUGUUAAACUAAAUGUUCUAUUUAUUUAUAGUAAUUAAAUUUAAUUAUCAAGUUAUUUUGGAAUUAGUAAUUGAUAAAGUAUUGGCAUAUUUCGUGCCAGCAGCCGCGGUUAUACGAUUAAUACAAGUGAAUAUUUUUGGUUAAUGUAGUUAUAAAUUAUUUUGAGUUUUAAUAAUUAAUUAUUAGGUGAAAUUUUAUUUUAUUUAUUUGCUCUUAAUUUUGAACCUAUGAAAUUUAUAAAAUAGACUAGGAUUAGAUACCCUAUUAUUUUAAAUGUAAAUUUUGUUUUACCUGGGUAUUAUUAGUUAAGGUCUUUAAACCCAAAGAAUUUGGCGGUAUUUCAUUCCAUUCAGAGGAACCUAUCUCAUGAUUGAUAGUACACGAUUUACUUUACUUAAUUUAUUUGUUUGUAUAUCUCCGUUAAUCAGAAAAUCUUUUUGGAGAAAAAAUUUUCUUGUUUUUUUAUUAAAAUUUAUUUCAGGUCAAGGUGCAGCUUAUAAUUAAGUGUAUGAUGGGUUACAAUAAUUUUUUUUUAUUAUGGAUUUAAUUUUGAAAUAUUUUAAUGAAGGUGGAUUUGAUAGUAAUUUAAAUUAUUUAAUUUAACUGAUAUUGGCUCUGAAGUGUGUACACAUCGCCCGUCACUCUCGUUAUUGAUUAAAAUUUUAUAUCUUUUAAUAUGAGAUAAGUCGUAACAUAGUAGAUGUACUGGAAAGUGUAUCUAGUAAGUUUAUU